GUCAGGUGAGGUUACUGCUCCCACCUUCCACCUGAGGAAGAUGCUGAUUUUUCAAUCAGGUCUGUUCAAUCAUGUGAUUUUACACAGCGCUUUUCUUCAUCUGUUUGUCAAUGGAGAAAUGAUAAACUGAGAGCCGAAGCUGAAAUUGUGCACGUUAGUCAUUUCUAUUCAUUCAUUCAACAGUAAUUUGUUCUAGAGAUAUAAAAAUGACUCAGACAUAAUUCUGUUAUCCUCACAGAAGUUAUGGUUUACCAGCAGGAGAUGAACAGAAAAUUGCAGUAAAGCAUUGAAGGCACUGCGGAUGAUGCUGCCAGGGGAGAGGAAGUCCAUCUGUGUCUGCUGUGCUGCACUGCUUGAUAAUAUGGCUUAGAUAAUAGAAAUCCAUUACAUCGCUCAAAGGAAGUAAAAAAACUGCUCUCCAAGGAGUAGAGGGAAGCCAAGUAGGAAUUCAAUCUCUGAGCAAGAAUCAGCAUGUGUUUUUUUCCCCGAGAAAGAAGGAAGAAGAUAAAUAAAAGGGCUCCUUGGAUGUUGUCUGACUUGUGCCUGGGGAAUCUUGUGGUCAAGAGAGAAGGCUCCUUUGGAGGUUAAGCAAAGGAAGAUUGCUGCUUUCCCAGAGCGUUUCAGUAAAGGAUGGGCAAUGGAACUCCAGUAGAGAGAGUUCCAUGGAGUAGAACCCUGGAACCCUGAGGACUGACAGGAUGUCUCCUCCAGUUCUAGGAGAACUGGCCUUACGGGACUCUGAAACCAUGGCUUCAGUUCAUUACUAGGGAGAUAUUGUUAAGACUGGCACCUCUGAGUCAUCAGAUACAGGAGUUGUCUCCAAGCAAAUUAAGUAUUACCCUGAACCAGAAACAAUCAAAGCUGCCUAUAAAGACUGUUGUGUGACAAUUACAAUGUUCCACUUGUUUUUUUCUGUUAGCCCAAAGAAGAGGCUGUGGAUACCAGUAGAUUUCCCUUUCAGAAAUCUACUAACUGCCAGCCUUAUCUAGGAGCCUCUCAAGAAACGUGCACAGUUACAGACUGGGUUGUACAUGCUGGCCAGCGGGUCUCAGGGCUUCUUUCCAGAGAACAGCCAAAAUGACUACCCCAGGGGGCCUGCCCCACAAGACUGCUAGAGGAGGAAACAAAUCAUUUUCAGAAUUUCUAUCAACAAUCUUUUCCUUGUAACAUUUUUGGUUCAGCCUCAGUAUUGUAUUCAUGUCAUUUUGUUUUGCUUUCUAUUUUUAUUUCUUAUUUCCGGAGCACUUUGCACUGUUGUGGUGACUCAAAUCAAAAAGGAAAAGAAAAAAGGUGUUUUUUUCCUCCUCUCUAUCAUUUUUAUAUCUUAAUCACUUGAUUAAAACUCACCAGCUGAAGAGGAAGUUGCAAUGAACUUUAUUUUUUCUCCAUUAGUUGUAAGCUUCCCUGCCUGAUAUCCAGAUAUAUU
rnacentral:lncRNA from 1 species